UUCUCGUCUUCAUCUUCUUCCCUCAUUUUGAAUCUCUCUAAUCUCUCCAUCUCUCCUCUCACUCAAGCUUUCACUGUCGCCACUCUGCCAUUCGCCCACCGUACAAUCGUCGCCUCCGUCGUCCACUCGUUGCAAAGUCGGUCGCCGCCCUGCCGUCGGCUGCACCGUUGCCACCCAUCCACAUCAAUUUCGGUCGCUGUCAAUGAAGGAGGUAUGGGGUGAGAGAAAAGGCAAGCAUCUCUAUGGAGUCAGAUACAGGGCAAAGCAUCUCCAUUGACUCUAUUGAGCGAUAUGGUCACAGAAGAGGUUAAGAACAACCCAAAGUUUCAGGAAAAAAUUAUACAAAAUUAUGGAGACAGGCCUACUCUGAUGAUCAUUGCUAAAGCCUUAAAUCAUAUUGCAGAGGAGAAUGGAGAUUUUUGGACUGCACAUUGGGGAUAUGGAGUCAAGAAGAAGAAUCCAUUAUUGUGGUAUGCCUACUGAACUUCAAAAUGUUGAAAACAGGCCUUUCAUUAUUGUGAGAAAUAUGGAUUCUUUCACAACUAUCAAGGAAAUACCUCAGAUAUGGAACUUAUGCUUCAAGAAAUUUUUCAACUCUGUAUGCCCUUCUUUAAAAGGAGAGGAAGAUGGAGAAAUCUAUGUCCUUAAAGAUAGGAUUAUCUACUUUAUGCAAAUUGAAUAUGCUUCCCUGGUUGAAAAUGAUUUAUAAAAAGCUUAUCUAAGUUGAGCAAUGUGAAUGCUUUGAAAGGCUGUUGGAUUCGRAGUUGUACCAACCUGGAGAAUCUAAUGCAAGACGAGGAUAAACUUACGUUAUUGGAAAUUACUCUAUCUAUGGAUAUCCAACCUUCCUGUUUUUAGGAGUGUGCUUCUACAGGCUGCCAAUUCGAGAGUUUCGAAAAUCUCAAACAGUUGUAUACAAAUUGUUGCCCACUGCWCGAGACUCUGUUCAUUUCCUCUAAGCUUUCGAAGAGCCUCGAGAUUCUCCAUGUAAAAUUUUGUGAUAGAUUGCAGAAUGUUUGUAGAUGUGAAUCCAAAGAAGGGUGUACUUUAGAGAAGUUGCACAAGCUGGCUCUGUUAGAAUUGCCUGAGUUGACCAACAUUGGCCUUAAACUAAGAACUGCUUAUAUUGGGAACUGUCCUAAACUUGGAGUUAGAGACAAAAUACAUGAAAAAAUUGGACUGUCAAGUUCAGGAGUUGAAUGGGUCUUAGACUAAUCAGCAAUGRGAUGGAUCCUUGUCAUUAAAGAAAUAUAAUUUAUUUUGAGCAACAAAGACAGUGAAGGAUCAUUUUACUGCCAGAAUUUACAGUUCCUGGUGAAGUUGGUGGAUCAUCAGUCAGUGAAGCACUUCAAUCUCCGUUAAGCCUGCUUCUGAUAGAUUUGUAAGGAAUGAGCAAAAAAAGAAAGCACAAAAGAGUAGCUGUCAUGUAUUCUAUUUAUCAAGGGAAGAGUUUCCUUCUGUAAUGUAGUAAACUUCAAUUAUAACAUUGUAAGUCUAAGUUCUAAAACUCACCAAGAUCAUUUUCGAAUACCUCUAUUGUGGUUGCGGCGUCGUCCUCGUCCUUGUCUGCUACCCUUUGUCUGGUGGCAGCC